UCCUACGGGAGGCAGCAGUGGGAAUAUUGCACAAUGGGCGCAAGCCUGAUGCAGCCAUGCCGCGUGUAUGAAGAAGGCCUUCGGUUGUAAAGUACUUUCAGCAGUGAGGAAGGUGGAUAUGUUAAUAGCAUAUUCAUUUGACGUUAGCUGCAGAAGAAGCACCGGCUAACUCCGUGCCAGCAGCCGCGGUAAUACGGAGGGUGCGAGCGUUAAUCGGAAUUACUGGGCGUAAAGCGCAUGCAGGUGGUUUGUUAAGUCAGAUGUGAAAGCCCGGGGCUCAACCUCGGAAUUGCAUUUGAAACUGGCAAACUAGAGUACUGUAGAGGGGGUAGGAAUUUCAGGUGUAGCGGUGAAAUGCGUAGAGAUCUGAAGGAAUACCGGUGGCGAAGGCGGCCCCCUGGACAGAUACUGACACUCAGAUGCGAAAGCGUGGGGAGCAAACAGGAUUAGAUACCCUGGUAG
rnacentral:rRNA from 1 species